rnacentral:rRNA from 1 species
GAUGAACGCUGGCGGCGUGCCUAAUACAUGCAAGUCGAGCGAACAGACGAGGAGCUUGCUCCUCUGACGUUAGCGGUGGACGGGUGAGUAACACGUGGAUAACCUACCUAUAAGACUGGGAUAACUUCGGGAAACCGGAGCUAAUACCGGAUAAUAUAUUGAACCGCAUGGUUCAAUAGUGAAAGACGGUUUUGCUGUCACUUAUAGAUGGGUCCGCGCCGCAUUAGCUAGUUGGUAAGGUAACGGCUUACCAAGGCAACGAUGCGUAGCCGACCUGAGAGGGUGAUCGGCCACACUGGAACUGAGACACGGUCCAGACUCCUACGGGAGGCAGCAGUAGGGAAUCUUCCGCAAUGGGCGAAAGCCUGACGGAGCAACGCCGCGUGAGUGAUGAAGGUCUUCGGAUCGUAAAACUCUGUUAUUAGGGAAGAACAAAUGUGUAAGUAACUAUGCACGUCUUGACGGUACCUAAUCAGAAAGCCACGGCUAACUACGUG